AAUUUUAAAGCCAAAUUAAACUUUUGACCCCAAUUUCACGGUCCACUGAACAUAGAAAAUGAAAGUGCAUGUUUCAGGUUAAAGUUUUUCAGGUUAAAGUUUUUGGUCAAGGUAGUUUUUGAUGAAGUUGAAGUCCAAUCAACUUGAAACUUAGUACACAUGUUCCUUAUGAUAUGAUCUUUCUAAUUUUAAAGCCAAAUUAAACUUUUGACCCCAAUUUCAGGGUCCACUGAACAUAGAAAAUGAAAGUGCAUGUUUCAGGUUAAAGUUUUUGGUCAAGGUAGUUUUUGAUGAAGUUGAAGUCCAAUCAACUUGAUACUUAGUACACAUGUUCCCUAUGAUAUUAUCUUUCUAAUUUUAAUGCCUAAUUAUAUUUUUUAUCCAAUUUCAUGGUCCAUUGAACAUGGAAAAUGAUAGUGUGAGUGGGGCAUCCGUGUACUUUGGACACAUUCUUGUUUGUUUAUAUUUUAUCAAGGUUAGAUGUUUAAACGUUGUUAUACAUUUCUGUAUUUUCUAAAAUUAUGAAAUUUCUGAUAAGAAAAUGAUAGCCUACAGGACACUGAUGGAAGUAAUAGAAUUAUUACAAACGAGACCCUGUUCUGAUGUAUGAGGGUAGUAAUGCCCUUUACUCUCGGCCAUCAAACAGUCAUUUUCAGCUACUGUUAGCAUCAAACUGGUUAAAAUUUUAACGUGAAUCGUCAAACUAUCCUUAUCAUGAUUCGUCAAAGGUGUCAAAUAAUUAUCAUUACCGUCAUUUUGGGGGAAAAUGUAAUGUGAUUUGUCAAAGUAUAAAAGAACGUGUUCAUUUUAUCGUCGUGCACCAAAAAUUACUGUUUACUUUAUUAGGCUAGAAUUUUUACUUUUAUUCGUCAUGAAGGUACCCCCAUUUACACCCUCAUGUAUCUACUGGACAAAUGGUUUUGAAGUCAGUAGUCGUUGAAUGAUAUUCUAGUAAAUAGAUACUGUAAAUACUGCUUAUUCAAUACAAGGUGUUCUCUAUUACAUGUAAAUUUUAUGUUUAUUGAUUAUAAGGCCAAGAUUGUAGACACAUUUAAAUGUAUAGUAAUAUUGUGUAAAUACUGCUUAUUCAAUACAAGGUGUUCUCUAUUACAUGUGAAUGUUUCUUGAUAAUAAGGCCAAGAUUGUAGACAAUUAAAUGUAUAGUAAUAUUGUGUAAAUACUGCUUAUUCAAUACAAGGUGUUCUCUAUUACAUGUGAAUGUUCCUUGAUAAUAAGGCCAAGAUUGUAGAUACAUUUAAAAAUAUUAUGUAAAUGUGUAACUUAAACAUUACAUGCAGGGACAUGAAGCAACAAUCAAUUAGUCAGAAGCUUGCUUCAACAUGUUUGAUCUUGUCAGUAUUCUUUGUUUAAAAUUGUGUUAAGUUUGAUAUUUUAUUGUAUUUUUCAAUGGAAACAAAAAAAAAUAUUUAUUAGGGUCUCCUGAUAGUGAUCAGUCUGUUUUUCUGUCCUUUCGUCCAUAACAAAUUAUUUCUGCUGUAUAUUAAGAGAUCUGUUAUAAAUUCACACUUGACACUCAACAUGUAAUGUAUAUUAACCAGCACCAGAUGUUGUGUUUUAAUGCUUGUACAACUUCCUAAGUCAAAGGUCAAGGUCAAAAACUUUGGUUUCGAUGACAAAACCAUGUCCUAUGGGUCAGAUCAUGUCCACUCUUUAUUUUUAGAACCGUCUUGAUUUCAGAGUUUAGGGUGUGUCAUAACUAAGGUUUCAGUUGACAACCACAUGUCCUAUGGUAAAAAUCAUUUCCAGUAGUCACAUGACAUAGUUGAUAUUGUAAAUUAUCAUUCAAAAGUGGAAAAUUCUUAACUGGCUCAUGAAAGACUUCAAAAGUUAUUAUAUCUUGUAUUACCCUAAGCAUGUGACACUAAGAUGCAAGAGCAGUGACUGGCUGACUGUGAGUCAGAAUCAUGGAUAAAGUUACGUCUCUUCAUGUUUAAUUGGUAGAUAUCAUGGUGAAAAUUUGUCUCAUUAUAUCUAAAUAGUACAAAACAUAUGACUUUGAAACGUUUUGACCAUGGAAGACGUGUAUAUAAUUGCCAAUCAAGUUAUUAACCCCAUAUCAACUUGUUAAUUGUUAUUGAUGUUUACCUUCCUUUUGAAUUGAAUAUUUCUUAGUUAUAUCAUUAAGA
rnacentral:lncRNA from 1 species